UUCGUUAACUUCUCACUAGUUUGUAGUAUGUUGCUAGAGACCCUGACUUGGUCAUGCGAACCCAUGCAUGUAGCCCUAAAUGCAAUUGUACAUUAACACAAUUAUUCGUGUAGGAUUAGUUAAAUGCACAGAGAAACAACGAGAAGUACAGAUACUAGAUAUGUGUAAUAGGAAGAGGACAGAAGUAUCAACUGUUUCUGUGAAGUCCGUGAGGUUCACAAAGAGCGUUAACGACGGAGAUGUCAGUGUUGGUGAGGAAGAGAUAAUGUGCUCUCCAGGAAAAUUGGAGGAUAGACGAACGUUCAAAAGAGGGGAGGAUUUAAAAGCAAUGAAGGUAAGAGGAAGCGGACAGCUCCAAAAUUAAAUAAGCUGGACGCAGAACAGAGUGACAGAAUGGUGCCUUCCCAGAAAGGUGUAGCCACUGAGGUCAGAUCUGUUGGUGGAAAGAUCAUCAAACAGGAAAUUAUACUGAGCACAGAGAAGCAAAAAGCAAAAUACACCACUGUCACCAGCAUGGGAACCCAGACUGGAGAAGGAAAUACAAAAGAGGAAGUAGUGGAGGAGGAGGUUUGGAAGAAAGAUGCGAUUAACUGCAAUCGGGAAGCAGGGAAAGAUCUCUGAAGAAAGCGGAUGAAAGACAAGGCGGUUGGGCUGGAUGAGAGCAGCAUGGAAUAUGAUGUGACCACUAAGAGAGAAGUGAUGUAUGCAGAGGAGUUCUAAAAGUAAAAAGGGAAAAGACAUACAAAAAAAACGAUUGCAGAAGAAAGUGAGAUUAAUGAGCUGCUCACUGGGGGAAAUGCAUCAGGCCAAAAAACAAGGAAAAGGAAGAAGCAGAGGGUAGACAGAGCCAGCAAGGGGCCAGAGAGUGAUACACGUGCAGUGAAAGAUAUGAUUAUGGAAAGCAAAGUCAGGGCCCAGGCACGUGGCUUAGGAGGUGCGGAAGAUCCAACCAGAAGUGCAGAGGAGGAGAGGAGGUGCCUGGGGAGGGAGUGGGAUGGUACAAAUUGCUCACACUGGUGCAGGAACCGAGAGAGAGAGAUAUUAUGGGGAAAAGAGGUAGAGUGGGGUGAUGCAGAGAGCUGGAGGCCGAGCCGAAGCCAGGAGAAUGUAGCAGGAACAGCCACGGCCAGGACAGAUGAGCAUCUCCUGAGGAAGAGGAGGAGGAAGAAGUGCCCUGAGAGAUGUCUGGUGGAGAUCAGAGGAGAAAGUGAAAAUGCAUGAAAGCCUUUUAGAGUUGACCUGACGACUAGCCCUGCAGAGGGAGAUUGACCUAGCAUCCUGCUAGACUUUCCAAGCUAAACAGAACAAAUUCACCCUGGAUCGCUGGGUCUGCCAAACACAUCAGCGCUCAAUGCCGCCCUGUGGCGGCAUCCUGGCUCACAGCCAAUAGCAAUAAGGGAGAGAUGUGCUCCGUUGUUGCUGGGAGGUAGUGAUCCGCAGCGUUGAGUAUUCUGGCUCGCUCACCACUGAUGGACCUCCAAAGCUGAAGACUUUCUCCUCUGUUUUACAAAAGUCUAGCUGCUUGUUCUGCCUGAUGUUCACUUUGCUCAGACAUGGCUGGAAGCCGAGUGUGAGAUCCGCGAGAAUGUGCUUCUUCCACCACCUGGCCUUGACCUCCUCGGAAACCAUGAGUUUAUGAGUACUUGGGCCAGUAGUGGAGCAUCUAAACCCCGCAUGUCCUAUUGCUGCUGGAUUUUUAUAUUUUUAAAAUGGGCAUAACAGACUUUCAGCUCUCCUGUAAAUUCUGACAGAUUCUAGCGGCAGAAAUGUCAAUGUCUACCUGCGAAAGUAAAUCUUUGGUUAUCAAAACAUUCUUUGUAGUUUAGUUUUUGGUUUGCACACUUAUACAUGAAAUUUAAAUUCCAAAUCAUAUGUGCCAUUCAAGGAAACAUCAGAAUUGAGAAUCCCUUAUGCCAGAGAAAUGUGGUAGAGUCGGUAAAGCGUUCGCGUUAUCGACGCUUGUGGGUUAACUCUCUGUUUACAUGCAGACCUACUGGAUUUUAUCACCUUUUUGCACAAACAUGGAAGUACUAUGCACCUAGUGUUGAAAAACGUUUGAAUCGUAAAUCUGAAUGUAUCUGAUGACUGAAUGUGCCUGUCCAAUGUUGUUGCAAUUCCAUGAAUUGCCAGGUGAUGGAGACAUAGUAUAACGUAAGAGCAGGACGAGGUGGGCGUGGCUUCAAUGCCAGAGAUUAAACUAUUAAUCCGCAUUCACAUGUAAUGUCCCUUGCAAGCCUCAAACAGUAUGAGUAGUUCGGGUGUUUUUUAUGUUAGUGCUUUAAAAAUGUAAAUGAUUUAUACGUUCUUAAAUACCGCAUCUCCACAUUUGGUUAUGCUGUAAUUUAUUAUAGUUAAUCUUAGCCAGUGAGGCUCUCAAAGCUUCUUUAGUUAAACAGAAUAUCCAGUAGUAAAAUUAAUUUAGAUUAAAAAUAUCCUACAUAAAAAUAAAAGGAUGAUGCUCAUGA